UUUCCGUAGGUGAGUAACAUCGAUAUCCCUCAUUCCUUCGAUUUCUCGUCUGUAUACUAACGUGUCCUUUUAGGUGAACCUGCGGAAGGAUCAUUAACAAGUCCUGCUGUGCGUGCGGAGCAGUCUGCAUGCGCACAUCCGUUCCAUGUGCCCCGCACAUGACAUUUCUGCGAGUCGUCUGAUUGUCGCUCUGAAUCAUAC
rnacentral:misc_RNA from 1 species